CAUCUGCCAGCACACUGGAACGUGGCAACAUGGAAGGGAUGGAUCUCGCGAGAACAUAGUUGUUGCUUGCUUAGUGUGCUGAAGUUAGAAUCAAAGAAGUGUUGGUAGGGUUUAUUGUUGGUCACUUUGGAUGAGAUUGGACAUGACGGGUUCGAGUUCAUUAAACUUCAUUUUCAUAUGGUUUGGAAGCAGUGGUGUAAUCGAGGGUAUACGCAGAUCCAUUGCUGUCAUCAGUGAUUGUCCAGGAGCUCCGCCAUCUCGCUGGCAUUAUAACGGACAGCUUUAGAUCUGUUGCUGAGUCUCUCGCAACGGUGCUCCAGCAGCAAACUGAAUUGAUACAGGUGGAGCGCCAUCGUGAGAACUAUGAAGCCCUCUGUGCUCUCGUGAGCAGCAAUGGCCUCCUAACCCACACUAUUGCAGAACUCCAACAGAGCUAUGAGAACUGUAUUGCUGCUGACGAGAGCACACCGGAGCAGCUGAGCGGGAUGGAGGAGUACGUACGGGUGAUAAAGGAAACCCUGCUGCAACGUCAGUACCAGGCCCCCUCUGUUAUACAACCUCAAAUUUCAAAACAGCACAAGCCCCUCUUCAAUUCAGUAGAGACGAGGAGGCGCUGUGAACCACCGAGUAGCUCAGAUAUUGGCCAGCAUGCACCUGCUUUCCACUUCCUCUGUCCCAGAGAAAGCUGCUGCCCCUCCUCAUGAUGUCGACCAGCUGGGACUCUCCACGCAUCCGAUAGAAUUCAUUUUAUUUAAUUGUAUUUGUUUUUAUUUUAAUUAAAGGUAUAUUUUGAAUGAAA